UACGUAGGGUGCAAGCGUUAAUCGGAAUUACUGGGCGUAAAGCGUGCGCAGGCGGUUAUGUAAGACAGGUGUGAAAUCCCCGGGCUUAACCUGGGAACUGCAUUUGUGACUGCAUAGCUAGAGUACGGUAGAGGGGGAUGGAAUUCCGGCGUGUAGCAGUGAAAUGCGUAGAUAUGCGGAGGAACACCGAUGGCGAAGGCAAUCCCCUGGACCUGUACUGACGCUCAUGCACGAAAGGCGUGGGGAGCAAACAGG
rnacentral:rRNA from 1 species